CCGCAGGAGUCGGAGCGUGAGGAGGCUUUUACGGCAGCCGCGUGCCGGAAAGUGUGUGAGUGCCGGGCCGGAGCGUUUUAUUCUGUUUUCCGAAUCCUGAGGUCUGGAGGCGGUGAAAGUAGCUGGGACGAAUCUUUCUGUGCGGUUUCGAGAAGGAAGGGGGCCGCCGGCUACGCGACUGGAUCGAGUGACUGACACCGGCUCGGCUGCCUGGGCCGCCACCUCUUAGACCAGCGUGGGGCGGGGCUUGAUUAGCAGUUUAGAAAAAGAGGUACAUUAAAUAUAAAAGUGAAUACUUUCCAUGAUACGUGCAAAUGGCCAGUUCUUUAAGAGGAGAAGUACUGAAUCUUUAUAAGAAUCUGCUGUAUCUUGGACGAGACUAUCCAAAAGGAGCAGACUAUUUUAAAAGGCGUCUGAAGAGUGUUUUCCUUAAAAACAAAGAUGUGAAGGACCCAGAGAAGAUCAAAGAACUUAUUGAACAGGGCAAAUUUGUAAUGAAAGAACUAGAAGCAUUAUACUUCCUUAGGAAAUAUAGAGCUAUGAAACAACGCUAUUACUCAGAUACCAACAAAACUAACUGAUCACUAUUACUAUAAUUUGAGAAUCAGUGCCAGCUGUUUAUGUAUACCAGCUACUACAAAAAUAAUUCUAAAAUGUCAAGAUAAUACAUUUUGUUAAAAAUACCUGAGCUGCCUUACUAAAACAGGUUUCGACUUCUGUUCAAACUGAGAGCUUUAUCAGCAACCUUUAUGCUCAAUUUUUAUACUAAAAUAGCAAUUUAACUAUAUGAUGCUGCCAACUACCAAUUAAAAAUUGAUGAGCACCCAAUUUUGAAUGAAAAUAUAAUGUACUUAAUUUUUAAUGAAUUUUUGCCAAUUCUUAGCCCAUCUCUGCAUCUUACUGAAAAAAGAAUGCCGUUUAAUGCACAUUUAAGUAAGCGAAAUAAUUUCUUGCAAGUUUAUUCCCCUUAACUUUUGAAGGAGUUCCUUAUUUUUGACCCCAUUUGGUACAUUAACAGCACAGAGUCAAGGUUCACUGCAAAAGAAAGAAUGAUUUAAGUGCAGUUAGUAGAAAUAAUAAGUAUAGAGUAAGAUUACUUCUGAACUCGAAACAGCCUGCCAGCGACUGGCAUCACAUAUAUAUACCUAUCUAAUUAUUUCCAUUAUUAAUUUUUGCCACUGGCUGUCUUUGGGCCUUAAAACAAAUCACCCGUUGUGUAUCAAUUACCUUCUUCAAUAAAAAGUAAUAAAUAAUGUUAUUCUA